rnacentral:rRNA from 1 species
GGGGAAUCUUCCGCAAUGGGCGAAAGCCUGACGGAGCAACGCCGCGUGAGUGAUGACGGCCUUCGGGUUGUAAAGCUCUGUGAUCGGGGACGAACGGUCAGCAGACGAAUACUCUGCUGAAGUGACGGUACCCGAAUAGCAAGCCACGGCUAACUACGUGCCAGCAGCCGCGGUAAUACGUAGGUGGCAAGCGUUGUCCGGAAUUAUUGGGCGUAAAGCGCGCGCAGGCGGCUUCUUAAGUCCAUCUUAAAAGUGCGGGGCUUAACCCCGUGAUGGGAUGGAAACUGAGAGGCUGGAGUAUCGGAGAGGAAAGUGGAAUUCCUAGUGUAGCGGUGAAAUGCGUAGAGAUUAGGAAGAACACCGGUGGCGAAGGCGACUUUCUGGACGACAACUGACGCUGAGGCGCGAAAGCGUGGGGAGCAAAC